GCCGCGGAGCGAGGGCGGGGAUGGAUGGGCGGUGAGCGCACGGCUCUGCCCGUCCCGCCGCUGCCCAGAUUUCACAGCAUAAGCGGCGUGAGCUGCGUUGGGAACAAUGAAAUCCUGCCUUCCCGGUGGCACUGUUCAGCCGGCAUCAUCUGAAUGAGGCUGCAUUCCCGAAGAUGAGGUCCUUUGAGUGACCCCACCACAGCUGGAUGGUGCCAGGACUGGCUGACAGCUUGCAGCCUCUUAUUUUGUUUCCUGAGCAGGCAGAGAUGAAAGUCAUCCCAAGCAUGACUUGUUAGAAGUAAUGGCUGCCUCACAUAUUUGCUGUCAGAAACAGGGAGAAGACAAAAAUCUGCUGGUUAAAGGCUCAGACAAAGCCAUCUCCUCUACUUGGUCACACAAGCUGAAAGCAAUGGAGAAACAGCAGCAGUGUCAAAAUGCCAUGAAGGACUGGCAGCAGCUUGUCAUGGAAGUGGUUUUCAUGGAGCAGUGGGAGCAGCGUUCCUCAACCUGCAGUGCCAUGGUGCACAAAUGAGGGAGGAGACACCCAGAAAUGCGUUGUUAGUGCUCUUUGGGAACAGGAUCUUCUGGAUUCCCUCCAAUCAGUGCUGGACCCAGCCUGUGUUGCAAGACACCUAUCAGCCCUUCAGAGGUGGAGAUGUGUGAAAUGACUGUGCUUUUCCCUAUGUGUGGUUGGGUAUAUUUAAUGGCAUUGAGAUAACUCAAUUUCUGAGCUGUUGGUCCUUUCCUACCACACUGCAGUUAUUAAUGGUACUUUUAAAGUUGUUCUGUCCUACAAAAGCACACCUGGUCUUGGUGACCCAGCCUGUUCACUAAAGGCUUGGGUCAAUCAGAUUGGGCCACAACCAGCACAGGCUAUUGGUGGCAGAUGUGAUGCUUAACUCUCUGCAGAGGAGAGGUCAUGCUCCUCCAAAUUAAGUGAUUCACGGUGCAGUAUCUGAGUGCAUUGCACUGGAGAUACCUCACCAGCCCUGCUCCUGCUUGGCUUGUGAAAUGGGAUCUUAUCACAGUCUGACUACACACAAAGUGGUUAGAAGACAAGCAUGGACUUCAAAUUUGGUCAAAUAACAUCAGCCCAGUGCCACCUGCAAGCCCAUUCAGAUGUUAUGGCAGCCAGAGGAUCCAAUAUCUAGAGGGAAAAGGUGGGAGAUUUUGUUAAGAACAGGCUCAAGACGCUGCUAGUUUGUACAACCAAGGAUUAAAAAGUGCUUCUGUCAUCCCUGGGGCAGGGGUUAAAGACUCUUGUGUAUGCCCAUGCCUGUGUCUCACGUGGUAUGAGCAUGGGAUGUUGUAGUGCUGGGGACUCAGAGAUAUGAGUCAGCUUAUCUGCUCCUGCCUAUAAACAAGGCACUUGGGAUACAGCUUCCCUCCUAUCAGCUUCUGAUAGCAACUUCCUUCCUACCCUCUUUCCCAAGCCAGCACGUGCUAACAUGUUGUGCAACAGAACCGGUUGGACAAGAAAUUCAGAAGUACUCUAGGAGCCCAAGGAUGUGCACUUUAUGCCUUUAAGCAGCAGAGGCUUGCUGGGAAUGGCCCCAGACUGUCAGGUGUGUGCAUUUACCUUCUGGAAACGGGGUAGAAUAAAAGGGCAUCUCUGCCUCUUUCA
ensembl:lncRNA